rnacentral:rRNA from 1 species
GACGAACCGAGCGACCGUUGUUCGGAAUCACUGGGCUUAAAGGGCGCGUAGGCGGGUGCUCAAGUCCGUGGUGAAAUCCUCCGGCUCAACCGGAGAACUGCCAUGGAUACUGGGUGUCUCGAGGGUGAUAGGGGUAUGCGGAACUAUCGGUGGAGCGGUGAAAUGCGUUGAUAUCGAUAGGAACUCCGGUGGCGAAGGCGGCAUACUGGAUCACAUCUGACGCUGAGGCGCGAAAGCCAGGGGAGCAAACGGG